GACGAACGCUGGCGGCGUGCCUAACACAUGCAAGUCGAACGGAAAGGCCCUGCGUUUGCGGGGUGCUCGAGUGGCGAACGGGUGAGUAACACGUGAGUAACCUGCCCUUGAGUUUGGGAUAACUCCUGGAAACUGGGGCUAAUACCGUAUAGGAGCUCCUGCUCCAUGGUGGUGGUUGGAAAGUUUCGGCGGUUGGGGAUGGUCUCGCGGCUUAUCAGCUUGUUUGUGGGGUAGUGGCUUACCAAGGCUUGGACGGGUAGCCGGCCUGGGAGGGUGGCCAGCCACCUUGGGACUGAGAUACGGCCCAGACUCCUACGGGCGGCAGCAGUGGGGAACAUUGCAGACCGGGCGGAAGCGUGAUGUGGCAACGCCGCGUGCGUGAUGAUGGGCUUUGGGGUGUAAACCGCUUUCGCCUGUCCCGAAGCCUCAGUGACGGUAAUGGGUAAAGAAGCACCGGCUAACUACGUG
rnacentral:rRNA from 1 species